rnacentral:rRNA from 1 species
UGGGGAAUAUUGCACAAUGGGCGCAAGCCUGAUGCAGCGACGCCGCGUGGGGGAUGACGUCCUUCGGGUUGUAAACUCCUUUCGCUAGGGACGAAGCUUUUUGUUACGGUACCUAGAUAAGAAGCACCGGCUAACUACGUGCCAGCAGCCGCGGUAAUACGUAGGGUGCGAGCGUUGUCCGGAAUUACUGGGCGUAAAGGGCUCGUAGGUGGUUUGUCUCGUCGUCUGUGAAAGUCCGGGGCUUAACUCCGGGCGUGCAGGCGAAACGGGCAUAAAUUGAGUACUGUAAGGGUAACUGGAAUUCCUGGUGUAGCGGUGAAAUUCGCAGAUAUCAGGAUGAACACCGAUGGCGAAGGCAGGUUACUGGUCAGUUACAGACGCUGAGGAGCGAAAGAAUGGGUAGCGAACAGG